GAUCCUGGCUCAGAUUGAACGCUGGCGGCAUGCCUUACACAUGCAAGUCGAACGGUAACAGGUCUUCGGACGCUGACGAGUGGCGAACGGGUGAGUAAUACAUCGGAACGUGCCCAGUCGUGGGGGAUAACUACUCGAAAGAGUAGCUAAUACCGCAUACGAUCUGAGGAUGAAAGUGGGGGACCUUCGGGCCUCGCGCGAUUGUAGCGGCCGAUGGCAGAUUAGGUAGUUGGUGGGAUAAAAG
rnacentral:rRNA from 1 species